rnacentral:rRNA from 1 species
AUUGAACGCUGGCGGCAGGCCUAACACAUGCAAGUCGAGCGGUAGCACAGAGAGCUUGCUCUCGGGUGACGAGCGGCGGACGGGUGAGUAAUGUCUGGGAAACUGCCUGAUGGAGGGGGAUAACUACUGGAAACGGUAGCUAAUACCGCAUAACGUCGCAAGACCAAAGAGGGGGACCUUCGGGCCUCUUGCCAUCAGAUGUGCCCAGAUGGGAUUAGCUAGUAGGUGGGGUAACGGCUCACCUAGGCGACGAUCCCUAGCUGGUCUGAGAGGAUGACCAGCCACACUGGAACUGAGACACGGUCCAGACUCCUACGGGAGGCAGCAGUGGGGAAUAUUGCACAAUGGGCGCAAGCCUGAUGCAGCCAUGCCGCGUGUAUGAAGAAGGCCUUCGGGUUGUAAAGUACUUUCAGCGGGGAGGAAGGCGGUGAGGUUAAUAACCUCAUCGAUUGACGUUACCCGCAGAAGAAGCACCGGCUAACUCCGUGCCAGCCGCCGCGGUAA